AUCAGUGUCAGCGACACUUACUAUAAUUCAAAGCCACACAAGCUUCAAACUAAAGAUCUGUGAUGCAGUGACAGCCUGUCAAGGUGGUAGCAUGACUCUCUUAGUGACGGAUGGAAUUGGCUAGUCCCCCUGUGACCCUGAAAAGAACAAACUGUUCCCUUGAGGGGUCGCCACUGAGGAUCAUCCGCCUCCAUCUAACCUUAUCAUCUGCAUCCUCCUCACUCUCACCAACCCUCAGGUCCUCCUUCACAACAUCCAUAAGCCUUUUCUUCUGUUCUACUCAAGGCCUCUUUCCUGGUAGCUUCUAGCUCAGCAUCUUAUUACCAACAUCAUCCCCGUUCCUCCUCCAACCAAACCACCAUGUUUCUUGCAUUUAUCGCCCAAACAUCUAACAUGAGCUUCCCCUUUGAUGGAUUCAUUCCUGAUCCAUCUUCGCUACUCCCAAAGAGAACCUCAAAAUCUUCAGCUCUGUCUCUCCCUCAGAGCCACUAUCUCUAAGCCGACAAUUUGGUAGGUCAUGCUUGUGCUGUGAAAAAAAUACUAAUAAAAAGGAAAAAACAUAC